rnacentral:lncRNA from 1 species
GAUUACUGAUAAUCUGAGUCUCUUAUACUGAACAUGCAUAUUUGAUGCAUGAAUAUCUGAUUAAACGGACUCAUGAAUGUAUGACUGGAUAUACAAUGGUAACUGACUCCAAGUUUAUAAAGAAAAUUUAAGCAUAAAACUGAGUAUGUUUAAAUAGAACCGUUACCUUGGGCUAAGUCUGAGUUUGUGGAGAAGAGAUGAGGAUAAUUGGUUUGCAUAUCUGUUUCUUCUUCCC